AGAACAUAGUUUCAACGUAAAGUAAAGUAUUUCUAUUACCAACAUCAUGAAACGGAUUGCUUAUUACACCCUAUGUGCGUUGUUUGUGCUGGUCAUCUGCAUUUUGUAUUCGGAUGCAAGAAACUCUCAUGCAGUCUUUCGAAUGUACAAGAAGAUGCGAACAAAAUGUUUGAACUUCUACUGUCCAGCGCUGGAAGAAGAAAAAAGUUGUCAUCAAUUCAACACGAGAGGCGAAAGAAAACUUUGUCGAUUCUGCUGGAAGCAUUUUUGUCAGCCCGGAAGAGAAUGGUCUAUUUUCAAGUUGAAAACGCGUUCAUUUUCUACAGCAUGAAUAUAAAUAUUAGAGAUAUAACUGAUUUCCCGUAUCAAGGGAAGGGUGCUUUAUUUACCGAGCAUUCAUUAUCUUCAAUCGCGCUGCUUUGUUUUUUAAAGUGAUGUAAGUCAACGGCAUUGUUCGACAAGAGUAGGCAAGAUAUAUAUAUAAUAUGAUCCUGCUGAUAAAUUACUUGAUUCAACUAUUGGAAUAAUAAACAAAAUAUAUGUUUAAAAAACGAACAAGUAACCUGUCGCUCAGAGCUGUAUAAGUCGGGAUAAGUCAAGAAAAGUACAUACAAUAAGUCUUUGAAAAACAAAAAAAUUCAAUGCAAGUUGCAAAUAUGGCAUAUAGAUAGACACAUGUUUUAGGAGUUUUGUUCUGUUAGUAAAAACUUUUUCAAUAAAAAGAAUCCCAAUUUUUUUAUUUGUGAAAACCGUUGCUAUAAUUCUUGUCUAAAAAUGCAUGGCGAUAUAAAAUCAGAUUUUCAUGACUUUGGGAAGUUUUUCAAUUUUUCUGUUGAUUUCAUUAAACGAAACUAAAAUGGCUGCUCAAUGCUCAAUCAACAUAAUGAGGAAAAACGGUUGACUGGCGUCCAAAUUCGAAAGUUCUGAUGCAAAACCACAGUACAUCAAUGCAGCUGGAAUUCCUAUACGGUAUCUUGGGUGGUAAUACUAUCUAAUAUCAUGGGGUGAUAAGUCUUUUAAAACAUAUGAUUCACCGUGAAGACGUACUUUUUCCGCGAUUGACUUCUAUCAAUCUGCAAUUGCGAAACUCACCCACUGCUAGAAGUUAAAAAAAUUAUUUGCAAUAACAGCUUGUUUUCUUCGAGACAUUCUCUAAUAAUGAAUCAUUUAUAUUCAUCGAACACCCAUAUGAAUCAUUUGCUGACGGACGUUGGUCUUAUGAACAUCAGCUGGAUGUGAUUUGUAUCCUGAUAUAUGUGAAUACGAACUUUUGGCAUUGGUAAUAGUAUGGUUGUCAAGAAUUGACUAUCUUAUGUAUUAAAUUUACUGUGUUGUAUUCGAUUCUUCAAAUAGGCUACUCAGCACGAUUAAUAUGCUCAAACGCUGCUUGCAUUAUUUACUGCUCGCCCUUAUUUUUACGUUGCUUGAAGAAGACGAAUCCAUAAAAAUAUCAACACUGGCGGAAAGUUUGCUUGUAUAUCAGUAUGUCUACAUUUUUAUUUCACUCGAUAUACUCAACACCAAAUACCCAAAUAACAGCACGAUGAUUACUCACUCGACACGAUCGUGGUAACGAUUUUCCUGUCGAAGAUAAAUGUGACAUCCACAAGUGACACGAAAGAACAUCAAUUAUUCAAUAAAUUCAUAUUCUUUAAUUGAUCAAUAAUUUAUGUGUAUACAUAUCAUGCUUUAUAUAUAUUUUGUAGUCUUUGGUAAAAAUGAAUGCUAACAAAUUUUUUCGUUUUUGUCAUUUAUGGGCAUAACAUUUUAAGACCAGUGGCAUCGUGUUUCGAUUAAUGAUUACUAAAAUUUGGCUUAGUCAUAUAUUUAGUAUUUUGGAAUAAAUAUUCGAAAAAUAGCA